UGGGGAAUUUUGCGCAAUGGGCGAAAGCCUGACGCAGCAACGCCGUGUGAGUGAUGAAGGCCUUAGGGUCGUAAAGCUCUGUCAAAGAGGGACGAAGAUCUGACGGUACCUCUUAAGGAAGCACUGGCUAACUCCGUGCCAGCAGCCGCGGUAAUACGGAGAGUGCAAGCGUUGCUCGGAAUUACUGGGCGUAAAGCGCGCGUAGGCGGGACUUUAAGUCGGAUGUGAAAUUCUGCGGCUCAACCGUAUGUAGUGCAUCCGAUACUGAAGACCUAGAGUUCGGCAGAGGAAAGUGGAAUUCCCGGUGUAGAGGUGAAAUUCGUAGAUACCGGGAGGAACACCAGUGGCGAAGGCGACUUUCUGGGCCUGAACUGACGCUGAGGUGCGAAAGCGUGGGGAGCAAACGGG
rnacentral:rRNA from 1 species